ensembl:lncRNA
CCUGAACAGGGCUGCCCAGACCUCCAGCAGGAGACCGCCCACCAUAGGCCCCUCCUCUGCCUCCAUAUCCUCCUGCUCCUCUGGAGGGGAUGGCACAUCAUGCUGGCGGCGGUAGAUGUAGGCGAUGCCAGCCUGGAAGCAGGCAGGUAGUGGUGGUGCUGGGGGAGAGAUGGUGAAAUCCAGGUCGUUGUCGUCAUCCCACGCAGCAACCUUAACGACUGUCAUUAUCCUCCUGCAGAGCGGGCAGGUCUCUUUCUGCAUGGCCCACCGCAGGAUGCAGCCGAGGCAGAACUCGUGACGGCACGGCACUGCGUAGGCAAUGUCCUUUUGCACGUCACGGCAGAUAGGACAUGUCCACGCCUCCUCUGCUGCCAUGGUCUUCACGCUGUGGCCUGAUGGGGAAUGAAGAUGAAUUGCUCUCCCUCACCAGUGCCUCAGUGUUGAAAGUUGAGCACUGCAAGAGGGAGAGAGAUCAUGGUCAUUCUUUGUCCCAGGAACAGAUAGAAGAAAUGUCCUGGUCAUAAAACUAUAGAAUCGUUAAGGUUGUAAAAGAUUUCUGACUUCAUCUGAUCCAACCAUCAACCCAUCACCACCAUGUCGGCUAAGCCAUGUCCCUCAGUGUCACCCCUACAUCUUUCUUGAUCCCUGGCCUCGAGAAAUGGUGACACCACGACUUCCCUGUGCAGACUGUUCCAAUGCAUUGCCACUCUUUAUAAGUUUUUUCUUGAUAUCCAACAGGAACUUCCCCUGGGUCCCUCAGCAGUCUAUCCUCCCUGACCCACUCCUGUGUUGCCGCAUGCCCCACACCCUCGCUGGGUCAGACUUCAGCCCUGGCCCUGGCAGCUCCCCUUGUUCCUUCGAUUACCCCAUUGCCACCCUGUGGGAUGUAUUCUCACCCGGCUCACCUGUGCUGCUGCACGUGCACUUUGUGGGGCCCCGGCUGCCUGAGCCAGGCAGGCCAGGGGAUUACAGGUGAUGGCUGUAGGGAUGGGCACUGAGAGCAGCUGCCAGCAGUCCCCAAAGCACAGCCCAACACACAAGCAAAAUCCUCGCUCCACCUCCAAGCCUCACACACUCGCUCGGCAGGAGUCCAGGCACGAGACUGACUGGGCCAGGCCCUGCCAGUGCCCAAAGCUCGGUGGCAUCACAGCCUGUUGCUCAGUGAUGUCACCAUAGUCCUUGUGCCACCACAGCACUGUCCCCAGCAGCACCUCCCCAUCUGCCUUCUCCUGGGUGCAGCUGUUUCCUGGAGUCUCCAAGGAUUUAGCUGUGUCUCCCCAGAGGCCUGUCAUGUAUUGUCCUACCUCUGUUUGUCAUUUCCAAAAUACCACUUCUUCCCCUUCCCCUCCCCUCCAUUUUUCUUUUUAAACAUGUCUGUAAGGUCCUCAGCUUCAUAUAGACAUGUUUUUCAGAUAUUGCCUCUUCUUCUUUCCUUAAUUUGCUCUACCUUUUCUUCCUGCCCUCCUUUUACAGGACUAUUAAUUUGACAUUGAUGCACAGAUGUUUUUUUUUUCCCUGCUUAAAUUACCUCGAAUUGGUCUUGAGGUUAUGUUUCCUCUGAUUCUGCAUCAGCAAACUCUGAUUUUUUCACUAUAUGUUAUGCAGAAUAUGUUAUGCAGAAACAUUGUUCCUCAUUAUCCAAGUUUUCGUUUUCUUG